GACGAACGCUGGCGGCGUGCUUAACACAUGCAAGUCGAACGGAAAGGCCCUGCUUGCGUGGGGUGCUCGAGUGGCGAACGGGCGAGUAACACGUGAGUAAACUGACCUUGACUUUGGGAUAACUUCAAGCAACUGAGGCUAAUACCGGAUAGGAGCGUCUGCUGCAUGCUGGGGGUUGGAAAGUUUGGGCGGUUGGGGAUGGACUCGCGGCUUAUCAGCUUGUUGGUGGGGUAGUGGCUUACCAAGGCUUUGACGGGUAGCCGGCCUGAGAGGGUGACCGGCCACAUGGGGACUGAGAUACGGCCCAGAGUCCUACGGGAGGCAGCAGUGGGGAAUAUUGCACGAUGGGCGGAAGCCGGAUGCAGCAACGCCGCGUGCUGGAUGACGGCCUUCGGGUUGUAGGCCGUUUUCGCGUGUGACGAAGCGUGAGUGACGGUAAUGGGUAAAGAAGCACCGGCUAACUACGUG
rnacentral:rRNA from 1 species